GCCUUUGUAGCGUAAUGGUUAACGCGUUUGACUUCGAAUCAAAAGAUUGAGGGUUCGAGUCCCCCCUAGGGCU